rnacentral:rRNA from 1 species
GUCUUUUUGAUAAUAAUUUAAAGUCUAACCUGCCCACUGAAAAUUUUUGAAGGGCCGCGGUAUUUUGACUGUGCAAAGGUAGCAUAAUCAUUAGUCUUUUAAUUGAAGGCUUGUAUGAAUGGUUGGAUGAGGUAUUAACUGUCUCAAUUUAAUAAAUAAUAGAAUUUUAUUUUUAAGUUAAAAAGCUUAAAUAAUUUUAAAAGACGAGAAGACCCUAUAGAUCUUUAUAUAUUAAUUUUUAAUAAUUUUUUAGUUUAAAUUUAUUUUUAUUUGUUAAGGUAUUGAAUUGGGGUGAUUAAAAAAUUUAGUAAACUUUUUUUUUAUUAGUUAACAAUGAUUUUUGAAUAGUUGAUCCAUUUUUUGUGAUUAUAAGAUUAAGUUACCUUAGGGAUAACAGCGUAAUUUUUUUGGAGAGUUCUUAUCGAUAAAAAAGAUUGCGACCUCGAUGUUGAAUUAAAGGUUAAUUUUAGGUGUAGAAGUUUAAAAUUUUGGUCUGUUCGACCAUUAAAUC